rnacentral:rRNA from 1 species
GAUGAACGCUGGCGGCGUGCUUAACACAUGCAAGUCGAACGAUGAAGCCCAGCUUGCUGGGUGGAUUAGUGGCGAACGGGUGAGUAACACGUGAGUAACCUGCCCUUAACUCUGGGAUAAGCCUGGGAAACUGGGUCUAAUACCGGAUAGGAGCGUCCACCGCAUGGUGGGUGUUGGAAAGAUUUAUCGGUUUUGGAUGGACUCGCGGCCUAUCAGCUUGUUGGUGAGGUAAUGGCUCACCAAGGCGACGACGGGUAGCCGGCCUGAGAGGGUGACCGGCCACACUGGGACUGAGACACGGCCCAGACUCCUACGGGAGGCAGCAGUGGGGAAUAUUGCACAAUGGGCGCAAUCCUGAUGCAGCGACGCCGCGUGAGGGAUGACGGCCUUCGGGUUGUAAACCUCUUUCAGUAGGGAAGAAGCGAAAGUGACGGUACCUGCAGAAGAAGCACCGGCUAACUACGUG